rnacentral:rRNA from 1 species
GAGUAUCAAUUGGAGGGCAAGUCUGGUGCCAGCAGCCGCGGUAAUUCCAGCUCCAAUAGCGUAUAUUAAAAUUGUUGCAGUUAAAAAGCUCGUAGUUGAAUUUCUGCUGCAUUGCAUUUUCUCCUAUACGAGUUUUUGCAUUGUGGCUUAUUUCGGUUAUAAAAUUAAUUUUAUUUCCGGAUGUUUACUUUGAGAAAAUUAGAGUGCUCAAAGCAGGCUUUUGCCUUGAAUAGUUUAGCAUGGAAUAAUAAAGUAGGACUUUGGUUCUAUUUUGUUGGUUUUAGGUACCAAAGUAAUGGUUAAUAGGAACAGUUGGGGGCAUUCGUAUUUAACUGUCAGAGGUGAAAUUCUUAGAUUUGUUAAAGACGAACUACUGCGAAAGCAUUUGCCAAGGAUGUUUUCAUUAAUCAAGAACGAAAGUUAGGGGAUCGAAGACGAUCAGAUACCGUCGUAGUCCUAACCAUAAACUAUGCCGACUAGAGAUUGGAGGUCGUCAGUUUUUACGACUCCUUCAGCACCUUGAGAGAAAUCAAAGUCUUU